GUACCCUGGUAGUCCACGCUGUAAACGAUGUCGACUUGGAGGUUGUUCCCUUGAGGAGUGGCUUCCGGAGCUAACGCGUUAAGUCGACCGCCUGGGGAGUACGGCCGCAAGGUUAAAACUCAAAUGAAUUGACGGGGGCCCGCACAAGCGGUGGAGCAUGUGGUUUAAUUCGAUGCAACGCGAAGAACCUUACCUACUCUUGACAUCCAGAGAACUUAGCAGAGAUGCUUUGGUGCCUUCGGGAACUCUGAGACAGGUGCUGCAUGGCUGUCGUCAGCUCGUGUUGUGAAAUGUUGGGUUAAGUCCCGCAACGAGCGCAACCCUUAUCCUUUGUUGCCAGCGGUUCGGCCGGGAACUCAAAGGAGACUGCCAGUGAUAAACUGGAGGAAGGUGGGGAUGACGUCAAGUCAUCAUGGCCCUUACGAGUAGGGCUACACACGUGCUACAAUGGCAUAUACAAAGAGAAGCGACCUCGCGAGAGCAAGCGGACCUCAUAAAGUAUGUCGUAGUCCGGAUUGGAGUCUGCAACUCGACUCCAUGAAGUCGGAAUCGCUAGUAAUCGUAGAUCAGAAUGCUACGGUGAAUACGUUCCCGGGCCUUGUACACACCGCCCGUCACACCAUGGGAGUGGGUUGCAAAAGAAGUAGGUAGCUUAACCUUCGUGAC
rnacentral:rRNA from 1 species